rnacentral:rRNA from 1 species
GGUUAAGCGACUAAGCGUACACGGUGGAUGCCCUGGCAGUCAGAGGCGAUGAAGGACGUGCUAAUCUGCGAUAAGCGUCGGUAAGGUGAUAUGAACCGUUAUAACCGGCGAUUUCCGAAUGGGGAAACCCAGUGUGUUUCGACACACUAUCAUUAACUGAAUCCAUAGGUUAAUGAGGCGAACCGGGGGAACUGAAACAUCUAAGUACCCCGAGGAAAAGAAAUCAACCGAGAUUCCCCCAGUAGCGGCGAGCGAACGGGGAGCAGCCCAGAGCCUGAAUCAGUGUGUGUGUUAGUGGAAGCGUCUGGAAAGGCGCGCGAUACAGGGUGACAGCCCCGUACACAAAAAUGCACAUGCUGUGAGCUCGAUGAGUAGGGCGGGACACGUGGUAUCCUGUCUGAAUAUGGGGGGACCAUCCUCCAAGGCUAAAUACUCCUGACUGACCGAUAGUGAACCAGUACCGUGAGGGAAAGGCGAAAAGAACCCCGGCGAGGGGAGUGAAAAAGAACCUGAAACCGUGUACGUACAAGCAGUGGGAGCACGCUUAGGCGUGUGACUGCGUACCUUUUGUAUAAUGGGUCAGCGACUUAUAUUCUGUAGCAAGGUUAACCGAAUAGGGGAGCCGAAGGGAAACCGAGUCUUAACUGGGCGUUAAGUUGCAGGGUAUAGACCCGAAACCCGGUGAUCUAGCCAUGGGCAGGUUGAAGGUUGGGUAACACUAACUGGAGGACCGAACCGACUAAUGUUGAAAAAUUAGCGGAUGACUUGUGGCUGGGGGUGAAAGGCCAAUCAAACCGGGAGAUAGCUGGUUCUCCCCGAAAGCUAUUUAGGUAGCGCCUCGUGAAUUCAUCUCCGGGGGUAGAGCACUGUUUCGGCAAGGGGGUCAUCCCGACUUACCAACCCGAUGCAAACUGCGAAUACCGGAGAAUGUUAUCACGGGAGACACACGGCGGGUGCUAACGUCCGUCGUGAAGAGGGAAACAACCCAGACCGCCAGCUAAGGUCCCAAAGUCAUGGUUAAGUGGGAAACGAUGUGGGAAGGCCCAGACAGCCAGGAUGUUGGCUUAGAAGCAGCCAUCAUUUAAAGAAAGCGUAAUAGCUCACUGGUCGAGUCGGCCUGCGCGGAAGAUGUAACGGGGCUAAACCAU